CUUCAUUGACUUGCUGAGGACAAAUAAAAUGCACAUGAGAAUCUACAGCACCGGCGGUAACAAUUUUACCUUCAGCAGCUAUAACUUCAGUAUUAGGUCCAAUGGGAAUAGUUAUUUCCGCUUGUACAUCUGGAUUACCAGCUUUACCAAUAAAAAAAAUUCGAGCAUCCUUGAUACCUAUAUCAGCCUUAACUAUACCCCAAUGAUCAAUAAUCAGCGCAUUAGUUAAUACUAAAUCAACACAAUCCUUUGAUGUCAUCUGCCCUUGUCCCAUACCAUCACGAAU
rnacentral:sRNA from 1 species